CCUAGAUCCUGUGCUUUACUCUGAAGUCAGGGAAGGUCUGUGGAGAGUUCUCUUCAAGCAUGAAAUGAAUAACAGCUGCCUUUCCUUCUCAAGAAAACACUAUCUCUGUGCCCUACUUUUCCUGUGGCCAAAACAAUUGCCUAGAUGCUUAUCAAUUUGUUCUAAUGUAUCAGUAGUUCACUAGAUCUUUUGCUAAUAUUUGUAAAGUAUUUUAUAUGAGAAAGCACUCUUAAUCACUGAAUUAACACUAUUUCCAUAGUUAUUACACAAGUUUAUUUAAAUAUGAGGUGUUUACAUUUUAGAAAAGAAAAGUAUUUUAAUUUUACCAAAUAAAUUUUUCCUUAGUAACAAUGGUGCAUGGAUGAAGGAUUUUUCUACACACUUAAAUUCCUUCUUCUUCCCACCCACACUUGGUAUUUACAUUUUCUAAACAGACACUCACAAAGUACAUGUUAAAAUGCACAAGAGCUUGGUUUUUAGUAAGAGUACAGUGUUGCCAAAUGGAAAGGUUUGGUGUUUUGUUUUUAUUUUUAUAGUUUUUAAGACUUGUUGUGAGCUAACUCAGACUGCUUUUCAGCUGCCUUUAAAUCAGUAUUUGAUGUCUUUUAUAGAAAUUGCCUGAUGCAGUGUGUAACACUGACUUGAUUCUUAUGGCACAUUCAAUACAGAAUGUCCAGUGUUCACUGUCUUUCUUAUUUGUCCUUCUCAGGAUAUUGCUUUAUUGGAAUUUUCUUAACAGAUGUUUAAAAUAUGAUUAACAAUAUUCACGGAUCACUAAGAACACAUGAAUGCAAAAUGAGUUCUCACACAGAAUUAUCGAGGCUUGAAAUAUCCAAUUCAUUAGGCCUCUAGAAGUGAGGAGUGUAUAAUGUUGUUUGUGUGCCUUCAGUUUUUUAUAGAGCACUUUUACAAGGACACUGCUUAUUUUUAAUAGUUUUUCAUUUUGUUUACUCUCCAGUGUUUGUAAUAAUCUUUUAGAAGCUUGAAAAUAAAAUUCCUUUCCACACUG